rnacentral:sRNA from 1 species
AGACAAGUAGAAGCACCCGCUUCUCACCUGAUUGACGCUUAAGGCAGUUGACAGGUAACAGAUCCGAGCAUUUAGUAAUGAAAUGAGGACGUGUGGGUGCCGUAUGUGUACCGACGCUUUUUUUAU